rnacentral:rRNA from 1 species
AACGAACGCUGGCGGCAUGCCUCAUACAUGCAAGUCGAACGGGAUCUUCGGAUCUAGUGGCGCACGGGUGAGUAACAUGUGGGAAUCUACCUGAAGGUUCGGAAUAACUGCGGGAAACUGUAGCUAAUACCGGAUGUGUCUGCAAAGAGAAAGAUUUAUCGCCUUCAGAUGAGCCCGCACUAGAUUAGCUAGUUGGUGAGGUAAUUGCUCCACCAAGGCUACGAUCUAUAGCUGAUUUGAGAGGAUGAUCAGCCACACUGGGACUGAGACACGGCCCAGACUCCUACGGGAGGCAGCAGUAGGGAAUAUUGGACAAUGGGGGAAACCCUGAUCCAGCAAUGCCGCGUGAGUGAAGAAGGCCUUCGGGUUGUAAAGCUCUUUCAUAAAUGAUGAUAAUGACAUUAGUUUAAGAAGAAGCCCCGGCUAACUUCGUGCC